CAGGUGGGGAUAACGUAGACGAAAGUUACGCUAAUACCGCAUAUUCUGUGAGUCAGGAAAGCAGGGGGAUCGCAAGACCUUGCGCUGAUUGAGCGGCCGAUAUCAGAUUAGCUAGUUGGUGAGGUAAAGGCUCACCAAGGCGACGAUCUGUAGCGGGUCUGAGAGGAUGAUCCGCCACACUGGAACUGAGACACGGUCCAGACUCCUACGGGAGGCAGCAGUGGGGAAUUUUGGACAAUGGGCGCAAGCCUGAUCCAGCCAUGCCGCGUGAGUGAAGAAGGCCUUCGGGUUGUAAAGCUCUUUCGGCCGGGAAGAAAUCGCACAGGUUAAUACCCUGUGUGGAUGACGGUACCGGAAUAAGAAGCACCGGCUAACUACGUG
rnacentral:rRNA from 1 species